CAGCAGCAGACCUCCUUCCCUUGUUAAAUGUGGGACUCUGUGGAUACCCAUGCAGCUUGAAACACUUAUCAAUUAAGUGUCCAGACUUCUUACCGUAUCGACAGAACAAAAUCCCUUUUGUUUGAUCAAAAUUAACCCUCUGUCUGAAAGGAGGAGGGGCAGCAGGCAUUGUGCCCUUGUUGAAUACAACAGGCUGCUUAUUUGUGUGCACAUUAAAGGAGACAGAGGUGGGAUCAAAUUGAGAUGGAGACUGUACUUGUCUUUGCAUCUCAUCAUUUAAAACAAUAUUAUAC
rnacentral:lncRNA from 1 species